GUACGAAGAGGAAAUAAAAACAGAAAAAGUUGUCGCUGUGGAAAAGAUAGAGGAGAUAGAAACAGAAAAGUUGAAUGAGAGUNAGAAGGAUGAUGAGAAAGAAAAAGCAGUGGUUGAAAGAAAAGAAAAAAAGAAAAAAAAAUGUGAAAAUAAAGAAAGAAAAGAAAAAGAAAAAGAGAAGGUUAAGGAAGGAGAAGGUUGAGAAAAAGAGGAAGAGAGGAAAUAAGAAAAGAUCACAUGAAAAACCUCUUCC
rnacentral:lncRNA from 1 species